rnacentral:lncRNA from 1 species
AGUAAGAUGAGGUCUAGCCUACAAAGCAAACUAAAGAAGCUGUCCAUCUUAUCAGUGAUCUGCUUUUAUUUACAUUUUUUUAAGAGACAGAGUCUUGCUCUGUUGCCCAAGCUGGAAUGCAGUGGCAUGAUCAUAGCUCACUGCGGCAUCUAACUCCUGGGCUCAAAUAAUCCUUCUGCUUCAGCCUCUUGAGUAGCUAGGAUGACAGACGUUUGCCACCAUGUCUAGCUAAUUUUUUUUAAUGUUUUGUAGAGACAGGGUCUCACUAUGUGGUCCAGGCUGGUUGCAAACUCUUGGCCUGAAGUGAUCCUCCCACCUCAGCCUCUCAAUGCGCUAGAAUUAUAGGUGUGAACCACCAGGUGUGGCCCUGCUCUUGUUUUUACCUGGAAUCUUGCAACAUCAACAUCUAUACUUAAUUGAAAUGAAAGUGAAGCAAAUCAGGCUGGGCACAGUGGCUCACGCCUGUAAUCCCAGCACUUUGGGAGGCCGAGGUGGGCAGAUCACUUGAGGUCAGGAGUUCAAGACUAGCCUGGCUAACAUGAUGAAACCCCCAUCUCUACUAAAAAUACAAAAAUUAGCCAAGCAUGUUGGCACACACCUGUAAUUCCAGCUACUCAGAAGGCACAGGCAGGAGCGUCUCUUGAACCCGGGAGGCAGAGGUUGCUGUGAGCCGAGAUCGGGCCACUGCACUCCAGCCUGGGUGACAGAGCGAGACUCCAUCUAAAAAAAAAAAAAAAAAAAGAAAGAAAGUGAAGCAAAUCAACAAAUGUGCCUUUGGCCAGGCUUUUAAGCUGAUUUUAAGGCCACCACCUCCAUUCUGGGAAGCCCGUUGAACUUUAGCUUGUACUAAGGAGAAAGACCUGUCCCUGAAGGAGAUCCAGAAGAAACUGGAGGCUGCAGAGGAAAGAAGGAAGUCUGAGGAGGUCCAGGUGCUGAAGCCAUUGGCAGAGAGGAGGGAAUACAAGCAAGAAGUCUUUGAGAAGGCUUUGGAAAACGACACCUUCAGCAGAAUCGUGGAGGAAAAGCUGAUCCUGAAAGUGGAAAAAAUUAAGGAAAAUGAGGAGGCUAAUCUAGCUGCUACUAUGUCUGAAGGAAAAGGAGGCACGCCGCGGAGGUGCGCAGGAACAAGGACGCGCAGACUCAACAGUCUGGC